AAGAAGUGUAACAUUCCGUUUAAGGUGUUUUACUCUGAUUAAUUUAUGAAAUUAAUUGAUUUUGGGUAACGGGGUGUUACAAUAGA
rnacentral:pre_miRNA from 1 species